GCAGACCACGUUAGAACCUCGGCUCCUGGAGUAGCAGAACCUCGGCUUCAAUGGGACCCUCAUUUCAUAAAUGAAGAAACUGAGAUUCAAAGAGGGGAACUACCGAAGGUUACAGAGCGAGUUCGUGGAUGGGGAAACUGAGCCUCACAUGUAUGAAUUCCAGCAUAUAAGCAACAGACUCCAGAUUUGGACAUGUAUAUCUUAUUCCAGGCUUCCCAGAUGACCACCAAGGUGGAAGGGAUGAUGAUGUCCAGGCAGAAGGGAGCUAGGCCGGCCCAGGCUUUUCCUCUAGGCACAGCGGACUCCAGGUUCAGCCUUCCCGGAUGACGAGGUCUUGCUCUGUCACCUAGGCUGGAGUACAGUGGUGCGAUCAUGGUUCACUGCAGCCUUGAGCUCCCUGGGCUCAAGGGAUCCUCCCAUCUUGGACUCCUGAGUAGCUGGGACCACAGGUGUGCACUGCACCACCAUGCCUGACUCAUUUUUGUAUGUUUGUAGAGACGGUUUCACCAUGUUGCCCAGGCUGGUCUUGAACUCCUUGGCUCAAGCAAUCUGUCAGCCUCAGCCUCCCAAAGUGCUGGGAUUACAGGCGUGAGCCAUUGUGCCUGGCAUAUUUAUUGUCUUGAUGGUGGUGAUGCUUCCAUGGGUGUAUGCUAAUACAUUUGUCAGACUAAUCAAAUUACACACUUUGAAUAUGUGCAGAUUAUUAUACAUUAAUCAUAUUAAAUACCUCAAUAAAGCUGUUGAAAAGUAA
rnacentral:lncRNA from 1 species